AAAAACGACUGCCCUGAGCGGGUUCUGAUUGGCUGUAGCCAUGGUGAUGCGGAACUUUCUGUCAACAAACAUUGCCAAACGGACUGUGGAGGAGGAGAAGAAAUAUCGCGCAGGACAGAUGGAGGAGCAUGGGCGGUGUAUACUUUAGCGGCUGCCACACAAGGCAUGGCUAGGAAAGGCUGGUUCAUUCCAGAAGAAAAGGAUAAAGCCCCAGACAAAAGUACAGGGCAGAUCAAUGAAAACUUUGUACAGAAAGAAGAAAGAAGACAAUGACAAUAAUCCAAAGAAAACAUUGAGGAUAUCCCCUUGACAGUAACUCCUAGUCAACAAAAUGUCUAUUACAAUUGUUAUGCACAUUGUUCCUCUUCUAUGAAAUUAAAGACAUUCACUGAUUA